rnacentral:rRNA from 1 species
CGAACUGUGCGAACGUUAUUCGGAAUCACUGGGCUUACAGGGUGCGUAGGCGGCUUGUUAAGUAGGGUGUGAAAUCCCCCGGCCCAACCGGGGAAUUGCGCUCUAAACUAGCAGGCUUGAGUGAGCUAGGGGUGCACGGAACUUCCAGUGGAGCGGUGAAAUGUGUUGAUAUUGGAAGGAACACCGGAGGCGAAAGCGGUGCACUGGGGCUUAACUGACGCUGAGGCACGAAAGCCAGGGGAGCGAACGGGAUUAGAUACCCCGGUAGUCCUGGCCGUAAACGAUGAGCACUGGGCGGGAGAAGGUUCGCCUUUUCCGGCCGUAGCGAAAGCGUUAAGUGCUCCGCCUGGGGAGUAUGGUCGCAAGGCUG